rnacentral:rRNA from 1 species
AUGACGCUCAACAUGCAGUACCGCAACCUCAAGCAGGGGGACCUCUCCGUUGCCGAGUACGCCCGCCGCAUGAAGCUGAUCACCGCCAUGCUCGCCGACAUCGACCACGCCGUCACCGAGGUGGAUCUCACCACCCAGUUUCUCCACGGCAUCGACAAAUGA